rnacentral:rRNA from 1 species
AUUGAACGCUGGCGGCAUGCCUUACACAUGCAAGUCGAACGGCAGCGGACCUUCGGGUGCCGGCGAGUGGCGAACGGGUGAGUAAUAUAUCGGAACGUACCUUUCAGUGGGGGAUAACGUAGCGAAAGUUACGCUAAUACUGCAUAUUCUGUGAGCAGGAAAGCAGGGGAUCGCAAGACCUUGCGCUGAUUGAGCGGCCGAUAUCAGAUUAGCUAGUUGGUGAGGUAAAGGCUCACCAAGGCGACGAUCUGUAGCGGGUCUGAGAGGAUGAUCCGCCACACUGGAACUGAGACACGGUCCAGACUCCUACGGGAGGCAGCAGUGGGGAAUUUUGGACAAUGGGCGCAAGCCUGAUCCAGCCAUGCCGCGUGAGUGAAGAAGGCC